rnacentral:rRNA from 1 species
CCUACGGGAGGCAGCAGUAGGGAAUAUUGCUCAAUGGGGGAAACCCUGAAGCAGCAACGCCGCGUGGAGGAUGAAGGUUUUCGGAUUGUAAACUCCUUUUGUUAGAGAAGAUAAUGACGGUAUCUAACGAAUAAGCACCGGCUAACGCCGUGCCAGCAGCCGCGGUAAUACGGAGGGUGCAAGCGUUACUCGGAAUCACUGGGCGUAAAGAGCGCGUAGGCGGGUUAGCAAGUCAGAUGUGAAAUCCUAUGGCUUAACCAUAGAACUGCAUUUGAAACUGUUAUUCUAGAGUAUGGGAGAGGUAGGUGGAAUGCUUGGUGUAGGGGUAAAAUGCGUAGAGAUCAAGAGGAACACUCAUUGCGAAGGCGACCUGCUAGAACAUAACUGACGCUGAUGCGCGAAAGCGUGGGGAGCAAACAGGAUUAGAUACCCGUGUAGUC